ACCUCAGUAUCCCAGUGGUAGAGUGGUCGGUUAUUAACCGAUUGGUCGUAGGUUCGAAGCCUACUUGGGAGA
rnacentral:tRNA from 1 species